AUUUUUUUGGUUUAACUGUAAUUUGGGUAAGAAUGUAGAAAUUUUAUUUUAAAAGUUUAUGUUAUGUAUUGGAUUAUUUAAUUUACAAUUUAAAUUUUGUGAGGGAAAAGGCUAGUUGUUAAGAGGUAUACUAACAAGGUACGGAGAAAAUGAAUUUUAAGGAUUGGUGACCCAUAAACAUUGUAUUAGGUUGUGUGGUUUUAGUUAGUGUUGCUUUUACGUUUUGUUUCUGUUGUAGAAGUAUUUAUCUUGGGGGGUUUUGAUGUGUUUUAAAUAGGGUUUGACACAGUGAGUAGCAAUCUCAUGUGGUUUACUUUUUGUGGAAACAUAAGUAUAACUUUAGGUUAUGAAAUUUGCAGGACUAUUUUACUGACUACUUACUAAGUCGUUUACUUGAGGAGGAUUUUGUAACUGAUUUUGAAAUCAAAGAAGAAAAAUGAGAAAACGAAGGAGGUGGAGAAGUUUUCACCUCAUAGGAUAAAAAGGGUUUAACAUAGAAACUGCUUUGUCUAAUCCUCGGGGGGGGGGGGUGUCCGUGGGACGGCCGGACCGCGCGGCACUCGGCAGCAGGAACGCAGCGAGCUGCGCGCCUUGGACGUGAGGCGGCGCCGCCCUCAGGGAGCGACCCGAACCGAACCGAACCGAACCGAACCGAACCGAACCGAGCGAGCGGCUCCGAGUUCGGCGGAACUGAGCCGAGCUGCGCCGAAAGGAGAGAGCGGCUCCGAGUUCAUCCGAACCGAGUCGAGCCGCGCUGAACACACAGAGCGGCUCCGAGUUCGGCCGAACCGAGCCGAGCUGUGCCGAAGAGGCGAAUCCAGCCGAAUGCAGCCGAUAAUAGCCGAGUUUAGCCAACAAUAGCUGAAUUCCGCCGAACGCCCGAGUGUCACCGAACCGAGUCGAGAUGAGCUCCGCCGAGCGCAGCGUCCCGGGCAGGGCGAGGCGCCGGGGCGGGCUCGGGCUGGAGCCGAGCUUCCCCACCGUGCCUUCUCUGAGCCGCGCCGUCCCCGCCGUCUCUGUCACUCCCUCUCGCUGCCCCUCGCCCGUGACAGCGAGGCUGGGGAGGAACCUCAGCCCUGCCGGGGGCUGUCCCCCCUUUCUUGUUGCAGCAGAAUCCCCUUCUGGGGGGAUGUACAUGUGGAAAGGGCUCCAAGGAAGCGCUGCGCUGCUCUCCAGGGCAGUUGGACUCGUUCUGUGCCUUCUUCGGGGGUGAGGAAAAGGGGUUGAAGACUCGGGGUUCUGAUGCCAUUUGGGGCACCCCAAGGUCCCUGGAAGAGCGAGCAACACUGCGGUGGAGGAGCAGGAAUGAACAAAUGAAGUGCCCUGAAACCGUAAGAACAGCUGCCCGGGCUGAAGGGAAUGGAAAGGGCUCUCCGGCACCUUUUGCCUCCGUUCUCUGCCCGCCCCUAAAGCGCGCCGCAGCCCCGGGCUGAGCUCGGCGGUACUGCUGCCGCCUUGUGGACAGAGAGCGGUACUGCCGCCCCGCGACACAGCGCCAGUUCUCCUUCCAGUUGUAAAACCGCAAACAUCGCAGUGUUCCUCUGACACCAGCGGAGUCAGAGCUGUGCUUGUGCCGUAGUUUGGAUUCUGCUUCCUAACAUUUCUAGUGUGACAGAGUUUACCAUAGAGACAAUCUGCCAGGAGACAGCACUUUGGUGGGAAUGGCCGCCCUGGGGGCUGUCUCCAAAGUGACCUACAGACAUUGGAAUGGAAAUCUUUAUUUACUGUGUAAAAGAAUCACUCCACGAAGCAUCAGCCAGGGUCUAAAUGUCCCAUUCUGCCUUUUAAGAGUACCAGCAUCACGUGAUUUUUCUCAUAUUAAAGCUUCUGUGGAGUCGGAUCUGCCUGGCCCUUGAGAGUUGUGGGUCUCCCGUGAACUGCUCUUGCCAGAAGGGCUUGCUGAGUUUUCCAUUGUGUGGAAAAGAGAUCCCAUUUGGAGCCUGAAGCCUCUGUUUCCUGUGGGAUUUCCACUAGAAUUGCAAACUUUGCAGGAUUUCUUAUAGCAGAAAUUUUCUGGGAACUAGGACUCUGGCUGGAUUUGGGUCCUGGGACUCUCAAGUUAAGUGACCUUGAGACAAUAGGGCAUGCAGACUUCCUUGCUGUUGAAAAGAGCUAUCGUUUGCACCCAGGAGCCACGGUCUUAAUGGGGGCUCUUAAAUUUGCAAAUGUCUCAGGAUUUCUUCUAAAUAAAUGGUGCUAAGAAGAUCUGGCUGGCUUUGGACUUAGAGGUGCUUCCUCUGAAUUGGAAAGUGUUUCUGCAUAUGCAAAAUAGCCCUUGCUGUGCAGCUAAUCAGCUUCAAAGUACCAUCAAGUUGCUGCCCCUGCAAGGAUUUUGGCAGAGCCUGGUUGUAGUGUCUCCAUUCCGCUCCACCCCCCUUAGCAGGUGCUUAUGGUUGUAUGGGGAAUCAGCGUGGAACAUGCCAACCCAGUUCCAUCCUGAGAACAGCACCUGUAUUUUACCCUAAAAUUUCUGUCCCGUUAUAGCUCCUGUUAGGAUACAAAUGUAACUUCUCAGUUUCCUCUGAUUUUACCCCAUUAUCUUUCCAUACAAACAUUGCUCCACUCUCUAGAGGAUUAUUGUGAGCAGAUGUGAGCUCUGCUGUCCCUUUGGACUGAGAAAGACAAAGGGAUUUUCCCAAGUUCCUUUUGAACCUGUCCUGCACGUGUUACAAAUCCUCAGUCUCCUGCAGUUUUGUGGGUGAGUCACGUGUAAAACAGCACAACUGGCUGGCAUGCUUUGCUCAUGAGAGGAGAUGAGAAGAAUCCUUCUGCUCACACCAGACCUGCAGCUGCCAAACCUCACCAAAGCACCUGAGGAGCCCCCAGGGACUGAUGGCACAGAAGGGAGGUGAUGGAGCACAGCACAGCAGGCAGCCUGCCCUCCAUCUAGGUGUGAAGAAGGCAGGGCUGGAAUCUGUCAGCAACAUCCCACCAGGUCUGUCUCAUGGUGCCACCCCGAGGGUUUCCCCUGCCUUUGGGCAGUCCCAGCUGCUGCAGCUCACUUGACAGAGACUCACUGUCUAUCCUGUGCUUGGCUGCACUGGAGAGGAUGAAGCCAAGGACAGCAAAGGUUGCCUUCACAUCCCCUGACUGCAGGCGGGAGGGAGGGCGAGCUCUGUCACCUUGGGAAGGCAUCCGCAGACUCACUGCUGCCCAUCUCUGGAGCCUGGCUCCAUCGGGGGAUGGUGGUAAGGACAGCAGUGCUCACCUAACUUUGCACCUGAGGUCAGCUUCAGGAUCUUGUCAUACUGUGGGAGAGCAGAGCUUCUCAGUAAACACCAGCUAACACACUCGCUACCAGUGUUAACACCAACAAUUCUUACCUAAAUAUUAAUACUAAUAACACUUACUAUGCAUAUUAUUAAUGGUAGUAGAGGCCGGUAGCGUUCCUAAUGCUGAGGCUUGCAUGAAGAACAGAAAAUUAUUAAUGUUGCUGAUUAUGCUAUUGUGGUGUUGAAAUACUUGGCCUCCACUGCAGUAUCCCCACGCUUACCUCGAUGGCCUCCCCCAGCAGGUCCCGCAGCACCUGGAUGCAGAUCAGCUUAAGUUUCACUGAUGUGAUAAACAGAGUUCACUCUUUAAAAUUUUUACAAGUUUAAUAAAGGAUAAAAGGACAAAAUAAUCCAGCACUGGGGUGCUUUUGACACACAGCCAAAGAGCACAGAGGUAGCUUAAAAUCAUGUUCACUAUAUACAGAUACAUUGCUGGGGUUUCAUGCAUAUUCAUUAGCUUAUACAUUAUUCAAACAUUCCUUUGAGUUUUUGAUGUUUCAGGAACUCUCUUGUUUGAUUUUAACCUCUGACCUGUCUGCAGAACAUUCUGUAAAUUAGGUCUACAUAUUUUAUUUCUUCCUGUAGUUUUAUCCUGUUGCUUUACACUCCCUCAUAACCCUGAUAAGAGUCGAUAAAUCCUUCCUGGAUGCUGGAGCUCUGUUUUUGUCACUGUUAUCACUUGGUAGGGACUGUCUGCAGAUAUAAGAAACAGAAUAAUUGCUUUACACCACUCUCUGAGUUAGUUACAUAGAAGUAUUUUAGUUUCUAUUUUAACAUUUUGCUAAAGCCUACGAUAUAAUAUAUUUAUCACACUACUAUUCAUAUGAAAUAUACAGUGCAUACAUAAACUGGCAUAAUAAACUAUACAAAGCAGUUAAAAGUAAGUAUAAGUUGUACCAUAUCAAAAUACUUGUGAUGCAAAAAGCUAAUCUAUGUAUGUGAAAGCCAAUAUUGUUUUAUCAUCUAUAAUAUCGGACGACUGUGGAGGAAAACGAGCGUGAGCAGCGGGUCCGGAGCAGGCGGAGGGCAGGCAGGGGGACGCGGGCACUUAACGCUGGCCAUGGUGCUGAUCUCGGCCAGUCGGGGCAGGCCAAGUCCCCGCAGAAGCGGAAGCGGUGUGCGGGAAGAGGCCCCCAGAGCCCGCAGCGGGCUCUGCACGCCGUCCCCACUCUCCGCUGCCGAGGGCCCUUCUCGCCGCCGCUCCCUGGUCCGCCCUGCUGUCGCGGAGUCUGCCUUUGCGACCCGGAACCACUUCCGGGCUAGACCCCUCCCUGCCCCGAGUACCGAUGGGGCGCUCCGGUAGGGGCUCUGCGGGGGUCUUUUCGCCGGGAGCUGGGCACGAGAGAGGGCCGGAGAAGGGGACGGGGGUCUCGCAGCGGGACCCAGAGCGCCCGCGGGCCCUCCGAGCGGCGCGGGCUCCGCCCCACGCUCCCACGGGCUCCCAAGCCUGCCAAUCCCGGCCUGUCCAAUCACAGCCGCCCCUUCAAUCCGGGCGCGGUCCCGCCAAUCUCAGCCCGUUCAGUCGCGGCCCCACCCCUCAGCCUGGCCCCACUCCCCGUACGCCUGAGGCGCCGCUCCCGCCACCGCCGCUUUCGGAGCCGGCGGAGCUGUGUCCCCGCUGCCGCAGUCUCGCCAGGCGCUGUUGAGGCCAGGAAGGGCGGGCGGCAGCUUCCAGUUCAGGUCCUUGCCGGGAUUUCUCCCAGGGAAGCGGGCAGACGGCGGGGAGCUGGCGGACUCGGCCCCGGCAAUGGCGGCGGCGCGAGCCCGGCUUGAGGGGACCGCGGGGGGUCUCGGAGCCGACCGCGGCGGGAAUGGGCGGGCUGGGAUUGGUGGGGCUGGCGCUGCCUCGGGUUGUGAUUGGCUGGCUGGCCCGGCCCUGGGGGAUAAAUUGCGUGCGUUGAGGCGGCACAGGCGUCAGUUCGGCGGUGAAGGUGGGAGCGACGAGAGGUGAGCUUGCGCGAUUCGAGGAGCGGCGCUGCGCCAGGACGGGACCUCGCGGCAGCUGAUCCGGGGAGCGCCGGUGAGCACGGAUGGGACGCCUGCGGCGGUAUCUGGGGGCUGGCGCUGUCCAGUUCUUACCGCCGCACCCUGCGCGGUUCGGGUAGCCGGGGGCUGGAGUGGUGCAGGCGGGGACCGCCCGCUGUUACUGCGGGCUGGCAACUAGAUAUUUCGCGGGUUUUGGAUUUAAAGUAAUGUUCAGAAUACCGGAAAUAAAACUGACUUUUUUGCA